rnacentral:rRNA from 1 species
CCAAUAGCGUAUAUUAAAGUUGUUGCAGUUAAAAAGCUCGUAGUUGAAUUUUGGGUCUGGCCGGGCGGUCCGCCCUCUGGGUGAGCACUGUUCCGACGUCGGGCCUAUCCUUCUGGUGAGUCGGCAUGUCCUUUAUUGGGUGUGUCGGGGAACCAGGACCAUUACCUUGAAAAAAUUAGAGUGUUCAAAGCAGGCGUAUGCUCGGAUACAUUAGCAUGGAAUAAUGAAAUAGGACGCGUGGUGCUAUUUUGUUGGUUUCUAGAACCGCCGUAAUGAUUAAUAGGGAUAGUUGGGGGCAUUAGUAUUCAAUUGUCAGAGGUGAAAUUCUUGGGUUUAUUGAAGACUAACUUCUGCGAAAGCAUUUGCCAAGGAUGUUUUCAUUAAUCAAGAACGAAAGUUAGGGGAUCGAAGACGAUCAGAUACCGUCGUAGUCUUAACCAUAAACUAUGCCGACUAGGAAUCGGGCGAUGUUAUUCUCAUGACUCGCCCGGCGCCUUAUG